rnacentral:rRNA from 1 species
AUGGCGUCCCGGAUCUUGCUCCCGGCGCUCCUCCUCCUCCUCUGCUCGCAUUGCGGCGAGGCGGCGAGGAAGGCGCGCGGCGGCGAGUCCAGCUCGCAGGUCAAGUUCGACUUCUCGCCCUUCCUCAUCGAGUACAAGAGCGGCGUGGUGAAGCGGCUCAUGGGCACCGACCGCGUCUCCGCGGCCGCGGACCCGCUCACCGGCGUCACCUCCAGGGACGUCACCAUCGACCCCGCCGCCGGCGUCGACGCGCGGAUCUACCUCCCGAGCUUCCGCACCAGCACCAAGGUGCCCGUCCUGGUCUACUUUCACGGCGGCGCGUUCGUCGUCGAGUCGGCGUUCAACCCCAUCUACCACGCCUACCUCAACACCCUGGCGGCCAAGGCCGGCGUGGUGGCCGUGUCGGUGAACUACCGCCUGGCGCCGGAGCACCCGCUGCCGGCCGCCUACGACGACUCGUGGGCGGCGCUCAAGUGGGUGCUCGCCAAUGCGGCGCCCGGGACGGACCAGUGGCUGUCCCAGUACGGUGACCUGUCCCGCCUCUUCCUCGCCGGCGACAGCGCGGGGGGCAACAUCGCGCACAACCUGGCAUUGCGCGCCGGGGAGGAGGGCCUGGACGGCGGCGCGAAGCUCAAGGGUGUGGCCCUCCUGGACCCCUACUUCCAGGGCCGGAGCGCGGUGGGCGCCUACUCCGCGGACCCGUCGUUCCUGCAGUCGGCGGCGCGCACCUGGAGCUUCAUCUGCGCGGGCAAGUACCCCAUCGACCACCCGUACGCGAACCCGCUGAUGCUGCCGACGGCCUCAUGGCAGCACCUCGGCGCCUCCCGCGUGCUGGUCACCGUGUCCGGGCAGGACCGGCUGAGCCCGUGGCAGCGCGCCUACUACAGCACGCUCCGGAGCAGCGGGUGGCCGGGGCAGGCGGAGCUGUACGAGACCCCCGGCGAGGGCCACGUGUACUUCCUCACCAAGAUGAGCACGCCGCAGGCGCAGGCCGAGAUGGCCACCCUCGUCGCCUUCAUCAACCGCGCCGACUAG